GAGAUUGUUAAACUGCGUUUACGGAUUACAGCAUGAGUGACCUCAUAAUCAGGGCCACAGUGAACCUGCGGCUGGAGAAUUACCUAGUUCGUUACUGAACAUCAUUUUGAGCUUCUGAGCUAAUUACGUGCAGGUACUUCUGUUCAUUACCAAUACUGAUCUAAUACUUUGAUUCAUCAAUAUCGAAAUAGGUGUCUGAUUUUGUAACAUAUUUAGCAGUUCGCCGAAGCCGUUUUUUCCAUU